UCCAUCCGGGUCUGUGGUUGCGGGCGCUUCGGCGCCCUAGUCCAGGGUAGGCGCGGCCGAAAGGACCCACGUAAGCCGGAGGCCAUGCCUCCGUGUGAGCAUGGCGCGCCUUAGGGGUAAGUCGCACCGUCCGCUUCGGCGGGCGAGAGGGCCGGUAGUGAGAUAGCAUCAAGCGGAAGCCCCAGUGCGCGAGUGUGGGGCCAAAGACCAGGUCAGCCGGAUGGA
rnacentral:ncRNA from 1 species